rnacentral:rRNA from 1 species
ACCAGUACUAGCCCACACAACCCUAACUACACAACAAAUACACAACUACUUAAAACAAAACAUUUACCCCUAUAAAAGUAUAGGAGAUAGAAAUUCUUAAUUGGAGCUAUAGAGCUAGUACCGUAAGGGAAAGAUGAAAGAAACUACUUAUAGUUAAACAAAGCAAAGACUAAACCUUUUACCUUUUGCAUAAUGAAUUAACUAGAAACAACUUCACAAAAAGAAUUUAAGCCAAGAACCCCGAAACCAGACGAGCUACUUAUGAGCAGCUGUAAGAGCUAAUCCGUCUAUGUAGCAAAAUAGUGGAAUGACUUAUAAGUAGAGGUGAAAAGCCUACCGAGCCUGGUGAUAGCUGGUUAUCCAGAUCAGAAUUUCAGUUCAACUCUAAACUAAUUUUAAGCAUCUAAUAAUCCAAACGUAAGUUUAAUUGUUAAUCUAAAGGGGGACAGCUCUUUAGACACAGGGAACAACCUUAAUUAGAGAGUAAAUUCCAUAAUCUCCAUAGUUGGCCUAAAAGCAGCCAUCAAUUAAAAAAGCGUUCAAGCUUAACCCAUCAUACCCAACUUGAUCCAAACAUUCUUCCCUCAUCUCCUAAUUUUACACUGGAUUAAUCUAUAACUAACUAUAGAAGCAAUAAUGUUAAUAUGAGUAACAAGAAAACUUUUCUCCCUGCAUAAGUUUAUACCAACCCGGAUGAUCCACUGGUAGUUAACAAACCUAUAUUUCCAAAUCAAUAAACCUGCCUAAUAUUAUUUACAAUGUUAACCCUACACUGGUAUGCACCUAAGGGAAAGAUUAAACAAAGUAAAAGGAACUCGGCAAACACUAACCCCACCUGUUUACCAAAAACAUCACCUCUAGCAUAAACAGUAUUAGAGGCACUGCCUGCCCAGUGACAUGUUUAACGGCCACGGUAUCCUGAUCAUGCAAAGGUAGCAUAAUCAUUUGUUCCUUCAAUAGGGACUUGCAUGAAUGGUUAAAGGAGGGUUCAUCUGUCUCUUACUUUCAAUCAGUGAAAUUGACCUUCCCGUGAAGAGCGGGAAUCAAUAAAUAAUACGAGAAGACCCUGUGGAGCUUAAAUUGAUUAGCCCAAGUACUACCCACACCGACUCUACAAGAGACAAAUCUACUACCUUUGGAUUAAAAAUUUUAGUUGGGGUGACCUCGGAGUAGAAUUUAACCUCUGAAUGAUCUUAAUCUAGACCAUAACCUGCCUAAAUUUAAAUUCAUACAUUGACCCAAACUAUUGAUCAACGGAACAAGUCACCCCAGGGAUAACAGCGCAAUCCUACCCGAGAGUCCAUAUCGACAGUAGGGUUUACGACCUCGAUGUUGGAUCAGGACAUCCAAAAGGUGCAACCACCAUUAAUGGUUCAUUUGUUCAAAGAUUAAAGUCCUACCUGAUCUGAGUUCAGACCAGAGAAAUCCAGGUCGGUUUCUAUCUAUUAAAAGUUUCUCCCAGUACGAAAGGACAAGAGUAACAAGGCCAAUUCUCACAGCAUGCCUUACAGUAAUAGAUGAUAUAAUCUUAAUCUAAUUAAUAAUUACAUAAUCCUUGCCCUAGAACAGGGCCG